GCUGAGGCAGAUCGGUCUAGGGCACCGGCCGUGCCGUCCGGGGGGCGGUGGGGUGCGCUUCGGAACCGGGUGCCCUGGUGCUUUACGGACCUCACAUCGUGGCCGGCACGUUCAUUUGCCACGGCUCUGAAACUUACUCUAAGAGGCUGACAGACAGUUCCUAGCUGGCUUGCUGCAGACUCCAGGGAAGGCGUCAUUGAAGGCAGAUGAAAGCAGAGAAGUGUAAUGGCUUCCUCUUUGUAGUCCUGAGAUACACAGAGCAACCUGACAGCAGAGCACACUU
rnacentral:lncRNA from 14 species